GGGUGCGUAACGCGUAUACAACUUACCUUUAUCUGGAGGAUAGCCCGGAGAAAUUCGGAUUAAUACUCCAUAGUAUUAUAAAGUAGCAUUGCUUAAUAAUUAAAGAUUUAUCGGAUAAAGAUAGGUAUGCGUCCCAUUAGCUAGUUGGUGCAGGUAACGGCUCACCAAGGCGACGAUGGGUAGGGGUUCUGAGAGGAAGGUCCCCCACACUGGCACUGAGAUACGGGCCAGACUCCUACGGGAGGCAGCAGUAGGGAAUAUUGGUCAAUGGAGGCAACUCUGAACCAGCCAUGCCGCGUGAACGAUGAAGGCCUUCGGGUUGUAAAGUUCUUUUGUAUGGGAAGAAACUCACCCCUGCGGGGGUGCUUGACGGUACCAUAAGAAUAAGCACCGGCUAACUCCGUGCCAGCAGCCGCGGUAAUACGGAGGGUGCAAGCGUUGUCCGGAAUUAUUGGGUUUAAAGGGUGCGCAGGCGGUUUUGUCAGUCAGAGGUUAAAGACCGGAGCUUAACUCCGAGUUUGCCUUUGAUACUGCAAGACUUGAAAUACAUAUGGGUAGGCGGAAUUCCUCAUGUAGCGGUGAAAUGCACAGAUAUGAGGAGGAAGACCGAAGGCGAAGGCAGCUUACUGGGUGUUAUUUGACGCUGAGGCACGAAAGCGUGGGGAGCGAACAGGAUUAGAUACCCUGGUAGUCCACGCCGUAA
rnacentral:rRNA from 1 species